GGCCGGUUCAGUCAAAUCAUUUCAGAAUCAUAAUUUGGUCUGCUGAUAUCCUUAUCGCGAUGAACAAUUGGAGCAUGGCAAGACCGCACAAUCUCUCGCCACUAUGCAUGCUCUUUUCCAAGUUUUCAGUUGUUUCAGGGCAGUCUGUGCUUCUAAAGGUAGCACAUCAUCAUCAACACAAUGAUCAAUGUCUUCUUCCAAUUUCUUU
rnacentral:lncRNA from 1 species